GCCUGGUGUGGUGGUGCACACCUGUAAUCCCAGCUGCUCAGGAGGUGGAGGCAGGAGGAUUGCAAGUUCAAAGCCAGCCUCUGCAAUUUAGCGAAGCACUAAGCAACUCAGUGAGACCUUGUCUCUA
rnacentral:sRNA from 1 species